CCUACGGGGGGCUGCAGUGGGGAAUAUUGGGCAAUGGAGGAAACUCUGACCCAGCAACGCCGCGUGAAGGAUGAAGGUUUUCGGAUUGUAAACUUCUGUCGCGAGGGAUGAAGAAUGACGGUACCUCGUAAGAAAGCCCCGGCAAACUACGUGCCAGCAGCCGCGGUAAUACGUAGGGGGCGAGCGUUGUCCGGAAUGACUGGGCGUAAAGGGAGUGUAGGCGGCAUAUUAAGUUAUGUGUGAAAUCCCGUGGCUCAACCACGGAACUGCAUUUGAAACUGGCGGUCUUGAGUAUCGGAGAGGCAGGCGGAAUUCCUAGUGUAGCGGUGAAAUGCGUAGAUAUUAGGAGGAACACCAGUGGCGAAGGCGGCCUGCUGGACGACAACUGACGGUGAGGCGCGAAAGCGUGGGGAGCAAACAGGAUUAGAUACCCUUGUAGUC
rnacentral:rRNA from 1 species